CUAUGCAUAACUCCAUAUCAUUUAUGUAACCCACACAUCAGACUAUCAUGUUUUAAUCCUUUAUUGUGUAUGUCUUUUUAAUAACUAUUGAAUAGCUUAAUGGUUCGUAUUCAUGUUUGGUAUGUGUGAGUUUGAGAAUUCAUGCUUGAAACGUU